UGGGGAAUUGUUCACAAUGGGCGCAAGCCUGAUGACGCAACGCCGCGUGGGGGAUGAAGGUCUUCGGAUCGUAAACCCCUGUCGAAUGGGACGAAAGACUCGCGAGUGAAUACUUCGCGAGAGUGACGGUACCGUUAAAGGAAGCCACGGCUAACUCUGUGCCAGCAGCCGCGGUAAUACAGAGGUGGCAAGCGUUGUUCGGAAUUACUGGGCGUAAAGGGCGCGUAGGCGGCCCUCUAAGUCAGACGUGAAAUCCCCCGGCUUAACCUGGGAACUGCGUCUGAUACUGGAGGGCUUGAGUAUGGGAGAGGGAUGUAGAAUUCCAGGUGUAGCGGUGAAAUGCGUAGAUAUCAAGAGGAACACCUGAGGUGAAGACGGGUUGCUGGGCUGACACUGACGCUGAGGCGCGAAAGCCAGGGGAGCAAACGGGAUUAGAUACCCAAGUAGUCCCUGAGCGGGCUGGCAAGGCGCAU
rnacentral:rRNA from 1 species